UAAUAAUGAAAUUUAUAUUAUAUAAUAUUUUUAGUUAUAUAAAUUAUAAUAGAGUAUUAAUAGUUAAGUUCUUUAAAUUCAAAAAAUUUGGCGGUAUUUUAUCUAAUUAGGGGAACUUGUUUAAUGAAUGAUAUUCCUCGAGUUACCUUACUUUUAUUAAAAAUUUAUGUAUUUCCGUUAUCAGAAAAUUUUUAAAGAAUAUUAUAAAUUUUCUUAAUUUUAAAAUAUUAAAAUUUAUUUCAGGUCAAAGUGUAGUUUAUAUAAAAGUUAAAAUGAGUUACAAUAAAAUUUAUUUAUUAUGGAUAUUAAUUUGAAAUUUAAUUAAUUGAAGGUGGACUUAAUAGUAAAAUUUAAUAGAAUAUUUUAUUGAAUAAAGAUCUAAAAUAUGU
rnacentral:rRNA from 1 species